rnacentral:rRNA from 1 species
UCGGCAAUGGAUAUCUUGGCUCUCGCAUCGAUGAAGAGCGCAGCGAAAUGCGAUACGUGGUGCGAAUUGCAGAAUCCCGUGAACCAUCGAGUUUUUGAACGCAAGUUGCGUCCGAGGCCACUGGCCAAGGACACGUCCGCCUGGGCGUCAAA